ACAUAGCAACAAUGCCCUCAGUUCCUUCAUCCAGAUUGUUAGUGUAUUAUGUGAAAAGCUGUGGUCCCAACACUAAGCCCUGUGGAACUCUAUUAGUCACCGGAUACCAUCUUGAGUACAUGCCCUUUAUCCCAUUCUCUGCCUUCUGCCAGUCACCCCAUUCUCUAUCCAUGUCAGUACCUUGUCACAAUACCACGACCUCUUACUUAGCAGCCUCCUGUGGGGCACCUUGUUAAAUUCCUUCUUGAAAUCCAAGUAGAUCAUGUCCACUGGAUCUCUUAUCUAACUGGCUCAUUUCCUCCUCAAAGAAUUGAAACAUUUGUCAGACAUAACAUCCUGUUGACAAAGCCGUGCUGAUUCAGCCCUAUUUUACCAUGCACUUCCAAGUCCUCCACAAUCGCAUCCUCAAUAACGGAUUCUGAAAUCUUACCAAUCUUACGGGCUAACUGGCCUAUAAUUUCCUUUUUAAUGCCUCCCUCCUUUCUUAAAAAGAGGUGUUACAUUAGCUAUUUUCCAGUUCUCAGGGACCAUCCCUGACUCCAACGAUUCAUUAAAGGCCCCAAUGCCUCCACAAUCUCCUGAGCUAUCUCCUUCAGACCCCAGGGGUGUAGUCCAUCCGGUCUGAGUGAUAGAUCCACCUUCAGACCUUUCAGCUUUCUCCUUAGAUGUGGUCACUACGCUCACCUCUAACCCCUGACUCUAUUGAAGUUCUGGUAUGCUACUGGUGCCUUUUACCAUGAAGACUGAUGCAGAGUACUUAUUCAGUUCCUCCAUUGUUUCUGUGUUCCCCAUAACUAUUUCUCCAGCCUUAUUUUCCUAAGGUCCAAAGACCAUUCCUGCCUCACUCUUACCUUUGAUAUAUCUAAACAAAACCCUUACAAUCUUCCUUUAUAUUACUAGCUAGCUUAUUCUCAUAUUUCAUCUUCUUCCUCUUUAUUACUUUUUUAAAGUUAUUUUUUGGUUGUUUUUAAAUGCUUCCCAAUCCUCUGGCUUUCCAUUAAUCUUCACCACAUUAUAUAUGUUUUUUUGCUUUUAUGCUAUUGACUUCCCUGGACAUCCAUGGUUGCCUCAACCUCCACAGUCUUCCAAGCAACUCUGGCCAGCUCUUCCCUCAUGUUUCUGUAGUUACCUUUACUCAAUUGCAAUAGCGUUCCAGCUUCCCCUAAUCAAACUGCUGCAUGAAUUUUAUCACAUUUUGCUCACUGUCCCAAUAGUGGUUUCUUCACAUUACAUUCUCUUGUCAACUCUGCCUCAAUGCACGUCCCACAUUCCUGAUGAAGGGCUUAUGUCCAAAACAUCAAUUCUCCGAUUUCUCGGAUGCUGCCUGACCUGCUGUGCUUUUUCAGCGCUAUGCUUUUUGACUCAAUACAGAUCCAGACAAGCGAAAAGGAGGUAAACAUGAUUCAACACUGACCUACUAUGCCUACAUACUUCAUGCUACUGCAUUCCAAGAAAAAUUGAUUCUACCUACAGCAUAUGUACUGCCGUAGUUCAAGGCGGCGGCUCACCAUCACCUUCUCAAGGACAACUAGGGGACAAGCUUGCCCACAAUUGCAGAGAAGGCCUGGCCGAGAGGUGCCAGACAAAGAUUCUCACCCACUUUGAUGAACAGGCACAAAUUGGCUGAGAAGACAGAGACUCAACCCAUGGCAAGUUGGAGACAUGAACAGCCUAGGAAGCAACAUUGCUUUCUGUCCUUCUCAGCUGUGCAUUAAGGCAAACAUAUUGCUUUGCAUGAGAUAUUCUGUAUCUAUACCAACUACUCCUUUAUCUUUUCUAUGAACACCACCAGUAAUCACAAUUCAUAUACGAUGAAAGAGGCUGGAGACCCUCUGCUCCAGCACCAUUUCAGAGGACAAGGACAAGGACUCAGGAGUCCUUAGACAGCCCACUUACAAGGUGUCACCUGCAGCCUCCACCUGCACAGUCAAUCACCUCAAUGGUUAGGUUAGACUUGAUGAUGUAAUCCAGUGAGCAAAUCAGUGUGACAGGUCCACUGCCCGUGAAAGAUGUCUCUGACACUCAAAGGACUGCCAGAGACCAGGUGCCUGCAAAGCCCCAUACAGAAGAUUAUGACAUGGUCAACCUGCAGGAAGAGGCAGGGAACACCAGAAAGGUGUAACAGAGGUUCUCAUAGACUUCAGCAAAAGAUGGACAGGAUGGUGGUCAUCUUGGAGAUCCAGUCCAACAGAAUGGUGCGUGGCUGCCGGUUAUGUGCUUAGAUCUGGACUUCAGUGAUCUAGCCAUGGAUACUCAGCAUCACUGGCAAAGUGAGGCAUCUCAGCAUCACUCCAGAUGAGAGUGUGGUGCUAGCAGGCAACCACAGGGAGGAGAUGAAACCACCAGGUAUCACAGCAACAUCUUCUCAGGACAUUCCAGAGAUGUCCUGUCACUACAUCUUCCCUCUGCCAGUGACUCCGAUGCCUCCAAAAGCCGAGGCCAAGAAGAAUGUACUUGCACCUAUGCAGGAUACUCCUAGCAGGCCAGGGACCUCUAGGAACACUAACCAAACUCUUCAAACUCACCUAGGCACUUCAGUCAACAAGCUCCUUCCACCGUAGCUGUGAAUGUCAGACCUACACUUAGAUAUAGUUGGGAGGUGGGGAGCAAAAUACAAACUUAAGGGCAUAAUGGUGGUAUGGGUGUUCAAUCAAUGAACUGCAUUUUUUGAAAUGCGUACUUACUUAUGAAGUAACUGCACAGAGGCUGGUAUCCCACCAAGUCACCCUUUAUUUACAUGUGCACAGUAC